rnacentral:rRNA from 1 species
AUGGACUCAGGUGCUACUGCGCACAUGACAUCUCAUCCUGAGAACCUAACCUCCUCCACUCCUGUUUGCACACUCACUCGUAUCACCGUCGGCAACGGCUCCUCCUUAUCUAUUACUAAUAUCGGUAGCACUAGUUUUCCCUCCACUUCCACACCCAUUACUAUGUCUAAUGUUCUUGUUUCACCUGAAUUAGUCACGAAUCUAGUUUUCGUUCGUCGUCUUACUCGUGAGAACCCACUUACUGUUGAAUUUAACGGUGUUGGCUUUUCUGUGAAAGACGCCCGUAUCCGGAUGAUCCUUCACCGAUGUGACAGUCCCAAUCAGCUCUAUCCCGUGCACGUCGGCGCCUCCACCUCCACACCCGUCGCCCUUGCCGCCGGUGUUGACCUCUGGCAUGCUCGCUUGGGCCACCCCAACCCCACCGUAUUACGUCAAAUUCUUAGGAGUUUCUCUUUCUCAUGUAAUAAGCUCGACGAGCACUCUUGUGAGGCAUGUCGGUUAGGCAAGCACGUUCGUCUUCCCUUUAGUGCGUCUACUUCAGUUUCCACCUUUCCGUUUCAAUAG